CGAAAUUGGAGUCGCUGGAAAUCUUCUAAACUGACUCCGCCAUGGAUGAAAAUGGAAGUGCUUUUUCGAGCAUGAAUCUUACAAGAGUUGCAGUGUUGAAAGGCUGGAUUUGAACAUUGUGGUGCGGGUUCGUUCCCUCAAUUGAUGCAGUCGGACUUGGACACAGCGUGAAGAUAAUGGAUGAACUACAGCGGAUGCUCAGUCAAGGAAAUUCCCACUUCAUACCUGAACUGAAGAACCGCUGGAGGGCCUUUUUUGAAGAUCUUAUCUUGACCUGAGAUCUACAAAGCAGAGAGAAAGCAGGACCUGCCCAAGCUCUAGGCAUCUUUUUUGUUUAACUGUUUUGUGACCGAGAGCAACGGCUGUUUACGACCCCCCCCUUCCUUGAGAAACAGCUGUUGCCAUGCAAUCAGGGAAAGUCCAAAUAAAAGAGAAGGCGUGCAACCUUUCGUCAGAG